rnacentral:tRNA from 1 species
UAUAUUUUAGUAUAUGAGGUACAAUAGAUUUUGAUUCUAUUAGAAAAGGUUUAAUUCCUUUAAAUAUAU